rnacentral:rRNA from 1 species
CGGGUGAGUAAUGUAUGGGGAUCUGCCUGAUGGGCGGGGGAUAACUACUGGAAACGGUAGCUAAUACCGCAUAAUGUCUGCGGACCAAAGCGGGGGACCUCCGGGCCUCGCGCCAUCAGAUGAACCCAUAUGGGAUUAGCUUGUAGGUAAGGUAACGGCUUACCUAGGCGACGAUCCCUAGCUGGUCUGAGAGGAUGAUCAGCCACACUGGGACUGAGACACGGCCCAG